rnacentral:rRNA from 1 species
UACGUAGGAGGCAAGCGUUGUCCGGAUUUACUGGGCGUAAAGAGCGUGUAGGCGGUUGGGCAAGUCCGCUGUGAAAUCUCCAGGCUCAACCUGGAGGGGUCGGUGGAAACUGCUCAACUUGAGGACGGUAGAGGGGGGUGGAAUUCCCGGUGUAGUGGUGAAAUGCGUAGAGAUCGGGAGGAACACCAGCGGCGAAGGCGGCCCCCUGGGCCGCUCCUGACGCUGAGACGCGAAGGCCAGGGUAGCGAACGGG